GGGGAUUUAGCUCAGUGGCAGAGCACUUGCCUAGCAAGCACAAGGCCCUGGGUUCGAUCCCCAGCUCUG
rnacentral:tRNA from 1 species